CCUACGGGCGGCAGCAGUGGGGAAUAUUGGACAAUGGACGCAAGUCUGACCCAGCAACGCCGCGUGAAGGAUGAAGGUCUUCGGAUUGUAAACUUCUAUGAAUAGGGAUGAAAACAAUGACGGUACCCCAAUAGCAAGCCCCGGCUAACUACGUGCCAGCAGCCGCGGUAAUACGUAGGGGGCAAGCGUUAUCCGGAAUGACUGGGUGUAAAGGGUGAGUAGGGGGCAUAGUAAGUUAGAUGUGAAAUUCCUGGGCUCAACCUAGGAAUUACCUCUAAAACUAUUAGGCUAGAGUGCAGGAGCGGUAAGCGGAAUUCCUGGUGUAGCGGUGGAAUGCGUAGAUAUUAGGAAGAACACCAGUGGCGAAGGCGACUUACUGGACUGAAACUGACGCUGAGGCACGAAAGCGUGGGGAGCAAACAGGAUUAGAUACCCCUGUAGUC
rnacentral:rRNA from 1 species